CAGCCAAGUAGGCCUGGUCUUCAACCAGCCCAAGUGGUGAUUGGGUUAGCCGAGCAGGUGGGUUAUAUUGACCCGGCAGAACCGUUUGACUGAACAACCACGGAAAUCACCAUAAUCAAGCGAGGGAAACGGUUAAAUGUACAUCACUACCCAUCCAACCUCAAAGCGUUAAUUUAAAUCACUGGGGGAAUGAGCAGUUGUUGGCAUAUAAACUUGAAAACUUGAAAUUGUAAAAAAAAAAAAAACAUAACUGAAAUUGAAAUUGAUAAACGCAUAUGAAUCGUAUGUUUUGCCCUCGGGUAUCGUAAACUUAAAUAUAGGCUGAUUUAAAAAAUGAAGUGG